AACACGGCCAUAAGCAUGAACGGUCAGAAAAACCGCGCGUUUUAGGCUGCUUUUUCUGAGUUUUUGGAAGUUUAAGAUAAAACUAAGACGUCAUACCUCAGGAAUUAUUUAAACCCAUGCAAAAUACAUCUGUAUGCGAAGUUUCAAGAAGAUUGAAAGUUUUAAGGUCGAAAAAAAAGCAUUUGAAAAUUGACAAAAUAUGCCAUAUUCAAAACGCUCAUAGUGGCCAACAAGAUGCCGAUGACGAAAAUAACAUCACUUGAAAAACGCCAAUUUAUUUAUGUUUAAAAGCGACUAAAACAAGGACUAAAAGCUCAGGAUCAAUAACAAUACCUAGGGUUUAGUACAACAUAAAUUUUGGGACUGUCAAAAUGUUUUAUAGUAUAUAUUUUUGAGUUGAACGGCGAGGUUUCCUUCGGCACGUCCAAACUUUCGUCAUUUUUUCAAAAUACAAAAGCAAAACUCCUUACUUUUUGCUGCAGAGAGAUGUAAAACAGUUGGAACUAAUCGGAAAACCUGGUUUAAAUCCCAAUCAUUGUUGUAUUCCCAUGGAAAAAGUGUUUUUCUUGCAAAUUUUUGCUCGAAAACAAACUUCUGGCAGAAUUUUUUUCACUCCUCGAAACUCUCGUUAGUCUUUUUGAAAGCUGAUUUUCCCGCGCGCCGGCUUCAACGAAUCAUAGACUUUCAUCAUAGGAGUUAGCCUUCCAGUUAUUUUUAG